UCCCAACCGUAACUACCGUAUACAGAAAAAAGGUUCAAAUACGGUUGGGAGUUCAUAUUUUCCCAACCUUAUAAUUGAUUUACGGUUGGGAAAACCAAUAUUUCUCAACUGUAUGUUAUUCUCAAAGUUUUCAAAAUCCCUAAUUUGAUUAAAUCCAACCUAUUUAUGGGGUCAAAAACAACAAAAAAAAGGUAGGUUUUCGAUUCUCACCAAUUGAAGUAGCUAUUUGCGGAGAAUCAAUGAUUAAUCCUCGUUGAAGAGCACUAAAAGGAAAAUACAAGGGAAGAAGAAGAGACAUGAAAAAAAGAAGAGAAGAAGAAGCAAUAUUGAAUAGUUUAGGUUCAAUUUCUGGCUUUAGAUUAAUUAUUUAAAGGUAAUAAAGUUGUAAUAAAUAUAAUUAAAGAAUAUUUUUAUAUUAAUGGUGAAAUAUCUUUCUAUCUAUAUUUGGGGCACUUGAUGUAUAAAAGUCCUCAUAACCAAAAACUUGGAGCCCUAAUAAUAGGCUUCUUAUUUAUGUCGUAGAAGAUUAUGGUGGUCAUAUUAAUUGCUAUGUUGUUUCUAACAUAGAAGAAAAAGAAAAACAAUGUUUAUCUCUUUGGAGCAUUGCAACCAAAUCAAGACUGCUGCACAGGAUACUUUAGAGCAAGUAUUUGGUUCUGAAAAUGUUUAUCUUCAUGUUCAUAUAAGUAACCAUUCUGUAGUUAUACCAAAUAUUAGGGCAUUACAAUCCAUGGCAAUGCAGCUAACUUCAGUGAUGGGGAAUAUGCUUAAUUAUAUCUAUACUGCAAGGGAAACAACUGCAUCGUCUUUGCCUCAUAUGUACUCAUGGUUAUGUUUUCCUCUUGCAUGAGCCUUUGUUUUCCGGAGGAAGAUCGACCCAGGCGACUUUACUUAGAAUGAAGCUAAUAUACAGUUUUGCAGCCUUGGAUAUGUUGGUGUUAAAAGAACUGAACGUCGUGAUUGAUCGAUUCCUGAGUUAUAUCUGUGUAGAUGAAGGAAGGAAGGAAGGAAGGAAGAAAUCAAACCCCAAACGUCAUUUCUAUAAGUAGUAUAGUUUCAUCAAUGAUCAUUGUUAAUGGCAAGCAAACGAUAUCAUUGCAAUUGCUUCAAUAGCUUCACCAGUGACAAAAUAUUUUCGCAUUAUGAUUUCUCCUCCCAUACAUCUCAAAUAUGUUUCUGCUCUGCCCUUAGAAAAAAAACAAUGCUGAUCUCUUUACAAGGAGAAUAAUGAGUAGAUUGCAUGGCUGAGUUACGCAAUUUUCUACAGAAGCUGGUGUGGGUUAUGUUGGCUUUCUACACAAUCUCUCCUCACGGCAAGAAAGAAGUGCAGAUCUACCAUUGCUGUUCUAAUUUAAGUUCAUAGUUUUUUUUUCUUUUGAUCUCCAAGAUUUGAAAUAGCGGUGAGAGUCAGUGAAUAACUCAGGUUUGUGAUUAUUCUAGUAUGUAAAAUUAUUUUCCAAUAAUGAGAUCUACCUUUGUUGUUCGAAUUAAA